GGAGUCCAGCGCAGACUAAGGAAUGAAUAUCCUUAUGCUAUAUAUAUGAACUAUCGCUGCCAUAAACUUGCCUUAUGCAUGACACACUUGUUAAAAGUGCCUGAAUACAGAGUCCUUCAAGACGUAGAUGCAACACUGCUUGGUCUUUGGAAGUUAUUUGAAUACAGUCCAAGCAAGUUUGCUGUCUUUGCGCGAGUUCAAGAGGCAUAUAACAAACAACCACUUACAUUGAUAAAAGCUGCAACAACCAGGUAGUUAUCCCAUGGCAAUGUAUGCAAUAGAAUUGUAUGUCGGUUUUGGGAACUUGUGGAUUGUUUAGACAGCUUGUACGAAGAAAGUUGAGAACCUGAGGUGUUUGGGCUGUGAGCAUCAUUGUUGCGCAAGGAUGCCAUAGCUAUGAUAUUAUUGCUGUGUGAUGUGCUUAGAAUAGUAAACAAUUUGAGUUUAUUUUUACAAAAUGAAAAUAUUUAUCUCACUGACAUUCCACACAAAGAACGUGAAACACUGGAAAGAUUAGAUAAUUUAAUCGAAAUGUUGGAUGAAAGGGGUCAGCAUGAAGAACUGACUUCCUCGAAAGUUCGAUUACUUUUUUCUUGAGGUUAUAGACAGAACAUCUCUGCAGCGAAGAAUCGGACAUGAUGGUCACUGGAAUGUCCCUGUGCAGACACUUGGAAGAUUUUUUGUUACUCACAGGCCUUCCAUUCAUCAGGUCUCUUCGUGGUGAAAUUGAAGAGGCAUUCAGCUUUUCACCGGUUCUGAGGUCUUUUGGGGUCUUGGACCCAAGGAACCUCCCUGAUGCAAUUGGAGAACUGCAAGACAACGGGAAGCAUGACAUCCAGACUGUGGCAGAUUUUUAUGCACAUCCCUACCCUGGAAUUCCUGCUGACUUUGAAUCUGCAGAUGCAGUGGUUCUUGAAUUGAUCAGUGAAAUCUUAUUUGUUUGUUAUUAG